rnacentral:rRNA from 1 species
GAUGAACGCUGGCGGCGUGCUUAAUACAUGCAAGUCGAACGGAAAGGCCCAAGCUUGCUUGGGUACUCGAGUGGCGAACGGGUGAGUAACACGUGGGUGAUCUGCCCUGCACUUCGGGAUAAGCCUGGGAAACUGGGUCUAAUAUCGGAUAGGACCACAUUAUGGAUGGUGUGGUGGAAUGUUUUGCGGUGUGGGAUGAGCUCGCGGCGUACCAGCUUGUUGGUGGGGUAAUGGCCUACCAAGGCGUCGACGGGUAGCCGGCCUGAGAGGGUGUACGGCCACAUUGGGACUGAGAUACGGGCCAGACUCCUACGGGAGGCAGCAGUGGGGAAUAUUGCACAAUGGGCGCAAGCCUGAUGCAGCGACGCCGCGUGGGGGAUGACGGCCUUCGGGUUGUAAACUCCUUUCGCUAGGGACGAAGCGUUUUUGUGACGGUACCUGGAGAAGAAGCAACGGCUAACUACGUG